rnacentral:rRNA from 1 species
UAUCAAUAAGCGGAGGAAAAGAAACCAACAGGGAUUGCCUUAGUAACUGCGAGUGAAGCGGCAAAAGCUCAAAUUUGAAAUCUGGCACCUUUGGUGUCCGAGUUGUAAUUUGGAGGGGCAUCUUCGAAGCUGGCGCCGUCCUAAGUUCCUUGGAACAGGACGUCACAGAGGGUGAGAAUCCCGUGCCUGGAUGGCUGUCCAGCUUCAUGUGAAGUGUCUCCGACGAGUCGAGUUGUUUGGGAAUGCAGCUCAAAAUGGGUGGUAAAUUUCAUCUAAAGCUAAAUAUUGGCGAGAGACCGAUAGCGCACAAGUAGAGUGAUCGAAAGAUGAAAAGCACUUUGAAAAGAGAGUUAAAAAGUACGUGAAAUUGUUGAAAGGGAAGCGCUUGAGACCAGACUCAAUCUUUGGUGAUCAACUGUGCUUCUGUGCAGUGCACUUGCCAUUGGUUGGGCCAGCAUCGGUUUUGACGGUAGGAUAAAGAUCUUAGGAAUGUGGCUCUCUUCGGGGAGUGUUAUAGCCUAGGGUGCAAUACUGCCUGUUGGGACCGAGGACCGCGCUUCGGCUAGGAUGCUGGCGUAAUGGUCUUAAGCGACCCGUCUUGAAACACGGACCAAGGAGUCUAACAUCUAUGCGAGUGUUCUGGUGGAAAACCAUUGCGCGUAAUAAAAGUGAACGGAGGUGGGAACUCUUCGGAGUGCACCAUCGACCGAUCCUGAUGUUUUCGGAAGGAUUUGAGUAAGAGCAUAGCUGUUGGGACCCGAAAGAUGGUGAACUAUGCCUGAAUAGGGUGAAGCCAGAGGAAACUCUGGUGGAGGCUCGCAGCGGUUCUGACGUGCAAAUCGAUCGUCAAAUUUGGGUAUAGGGGCGAAAGACU